rnacentral:tRNA from 1 species
GGGCACUUAGCUCAGCUGGCUAGAGCAUCUCGUUUACACCGAGAAGGCCGGGGGUUCGAGUCCUCCAGUGCCCA